rnacentral:rRNA from 1 species
UACGUAGGGUGCAAGCGUUGUCCGGAAUUAUUGGGCGUAAAGAGCUCGUAGGCGGUCUGUCACGUCGGAUGUGAAAAUCCAGGGCUUAACCCUGGACCUGCAUUCGAUACGGGCAGGCUAGAGUUCGGUAGGGGAGACUGGAAUUCCUGGUGUAGCGGUGAAAUGCGCAGAUAUCAGGAGGAACACCGGUGGCGAAGGCGGGUCUCUGGGCCGAUACUGACGCUGAGGAGCGAAAGCGUGGGGAGCGAACAGG